CCUACGGGAGGCAGCAGUCGAGAAUCAUUCACAAUGGGGGAAACCCUGAUGGUGCGACGCCGCGUGGGGGAAUGAAGGUCUUCGGAUUGUAAACCCCUUUCAUGUGGGAGCAAAUUAAAAAGAUAGUACCACAAGAGGAAGAGACGGCUAACUCGGUGCCAGCAGCCUCGGUAAUACAGAGCUCUCAAGCUUUGUUCGGAAUCACUGGGCGUAAAGCGUGCGUAGACGGUUUCGUAAGUCGUGUGUGAAAGGCGCGGGCUCAACCCGCGGCCGGCACAUGAUACUGGGAGACUAGAGGAAUGGAGGGGGGACCGGAAUUCUAGGUGUAGCAGUGAAAUGCGUAGAUAUAGGGAGGAACACGAGUGGCGAAGGCGGGUUCCUGGACAUUAACUGACGCUGAGGCACGAAGGCCAGGGGAGCGAAAGGGAUUAGAUACCCCAGUAGUC
rnacentral:rRNA from 1 species